GACGUAGGGCGCGAGCGUUGUCCGGAUUUAUUGGGCGUAAAGAGCUCGUAGGCGGCUUGUCGCGUCGACUGUGAAAACCUGGGGCUCAACCCCAGGCCUGCACCCGAUACUGGCGGGCUCGAGGCAGGUAGGGGAGAGUGGAAUUCCCGGUGUAGCGGUGAAAUGCGCAGAUAUCGGGAGGAACACCGGUGGCGAAGGCGGCUCUCUGGGCCUGUCCGUGACGCUCAGGCGCGAAAGCUAGGGGAGCAAACAGG
rnacentral:rRNA from 1 species